GACCAUACUCCCCAGGNGGAGUACUUAACACUUUCGCUUCAACUGAAGGGCUAUGGAGGGCCCUUCAAUUCAGUACUCAUAGUUUACGGCUAGGACUACCGGGGUAUCUAAUCCCGUUUGCUCCCCUAGCUUUCGUGCAUCAGCGUCAGAAAAGACCCAGUGAGCCGCUUUCGCCACGGGUGUUCCUUANNAUAUCAACGCAUUUCACCGCUCCACUGUAAGUUCCGCUCACCUCUAUCUUCCUCAAGUACGGUAGUUUUNAGCGCAGUUCCUCGGUUGAGCCGAGGGAUUUCACACCCNACUUUCCGCACCGCCUACGCACCCCUUAAGCCCAGUNAUUCCGAAUAACGUUCGUGUGGNUCGUCUUGCCGCGGCUGCUGGCACGAACUUANCCCACACUUCCUCUGCGGAUAG
rnacentral:rRNA from 1 species